GUCACUGCCAAACAACACCCCAAUAUGUGUUCAGCAACAUCUCCUGAGUACAGUGAUACCACCCAUGCAUAGGCUUAUCGAGUUGUUUGGGGGCUAAAAGGCCACAUUUGGCAGGUGCGCAUAUCCAUUUUUCAACUUGGAAUUUUGACAUGUAGUAAACCGGUGCCCCUGUCCUAUUUGGGCCAAUGUAUUUUACCCCCAUCAAACCAUAUAUUUUUGAAAAGUAGACAACUCAGG